GUCCAGACUCCUACGGGAGGCAGCAGUAGGGAAUAUUGCACAAUGGGGGGAACCCUGAUGCAGCGACGCCGCGUGGGUGAAGAAGCGCCUCGGCGCGUAAAGCCCUGUCAGCAGGGUAGAAAAUGACGGUACCUGAAGAAGAAGCCCCGGCUAACUACGUGCCAGCAGCCGCGGUAAUACGUAGGGGGCAAGCGUUAUCCGGAUUUACUGGGUGUAAAGGGAGCGUAGACGGCAGCGCAAGUCUGAAGUGAAAUGCCGGGGCUUAACCCCGGAACUGCUUUGGAAACUGAGCAGCUAGAGUGCAGGAGAGGUAAGUGGAAUUCCUAGUGUAGCGGUGAAAUGCGUAGAUAUUAGGAAGAACACCGGUGGCGAAGGCGACUUUCUGGACUGUAACUGACGUUGAGGCACGAAAGUGUGGGGAGCAAACAGGAUUAGAUACCCGUGUA
rnacentral:rRNA from 1 species